UUCACAGUUAGACUCUCUGGUUUUUGUCUUGUUGACCAUAGUGCUGAGUUGGCCAGCAGCACCCAUGCAGGAUGUGUGGUUUCACUAGAAUGCAACUUUGGCUGACUUUGCUGGUUCUGGUCAUUGCUUUCCAUGAUGUCAGAAUUGCAAAUGGGUGUCAUCUGGAGUCCCCUGGCUCCACAAGUGGAGGCAGUGGUCCAAAUGACCAGUACUUUGACUUUGGCAGUUCUGGUGAACAAGUGGAAAAUGAGCAAACCUCCAGACAGGUUCACUACCAGCCCUCCCACAUUAUAUUCUCUCCAAGCGCUGGUCAGAACACUGACAGUCUUUGGAAGCUAGCUCUAGUCCAGCGCUGGAAUCGACCGUCCCCUGCAGUUUCUAGUGUUUCUAGUGUUUCUAGUGGUUGUCCAUUUGCAGCGCCUGAGCCGAGACGGCAGACCUCCAGACCAGCACAGGGUAACUACCAGCCCUCCCAGACUACAUUUUCAGCAAGUUCUGUGGCCCAACACACUGAUGGCACCAGGAACCCAGCAGCUCCUGCUAAGUCAGUCCAGAGCUGGCAACGACGUCCCCCUAAUGUUUCCUACAAUCCUCAGUACUCUAUGCCUGAGUGGAGCCCUCUGACUUCCACCACAACCCAGACUAGAGACCAUCCUGCACAGAGAGAACGCCAGAGUCGUCAGAGCAGCAGGCCCAACACUGCCCAAAAGCAGUGUUGGCCCUGUACAGCGCAAUUUUAUGAGCCAGCUCCUGGCAGUUUCCUGCAAGUAAAGUGGCUCUAGGCCUGAGGUUACGUCUCAGUCUGACUCAAUUCAGGGGCCGUCAUAUCCACGUAAUCCAGUCCAGAGCAGUCGGCAACAAGGUCAAUUUCCCAAGACCUCUCCAGACGCUAGCACACCGCUGUACGGUGGCUAUAGUUUCUCUCAUGGAACUGCUUCAGGCAACUUCAACUCAGGUCUUGCUCAGACUAGGGGCUAAAG
rnacentral:lncRNA from 1 species